rnacentral:rRNA from 1 species
UACGAAGGACCCGAGCGUUAUCCGGAUUUAUUGGGUUUAAAGGGUGCGUAGGCGUCCUGGAAAGUUACGGUUGAAAUCUCCUUGCUCAACAAGGAAACUGGCCGUAAAACUAUCAGGAUUGAGUACAUUUGAAGCGGGCGGAAUGUGUCAUGUAGCGGUGAAAUGCUUAGAUAUGACAUAGAACACCAAUUGCGAAGGCAGCUGGCUACACAUAUAUUGACACUGAGGCACGAAAGCGUGGGGAUCAAACAGG